GAGAAAUUCUACAGCCCAUGAUGUUC
rnacentral:piRNA from 1 species